GGAUCCUGGUUCAGAACGAACGCUGGCGGCAAGCUUAACACAUGCAAGUCGAACGGACCAUACGCGCAGCUUGCUGCGUGUAUGGUUAGUGGCAGACGGGUGAGUAAUGCAUAGGAAUCUACCUAGUAGUAUAGGAUAGCCACUAGAAAUGGUGGGUAAUACUGUAUAAUCCCUGCGGGGGAAAGAUUUAUCGCUAUUAGAUGAGCCUAUGUCAGAUUAGCUAGUUGGUGGGGUAAUGGCCUACCAAGGCGGUGAUCUGUAGCUGGUCUGAGAGGAUGAUCAGCCACACUGGAACUGAGACACGGUCCAGACUCCUACGGGAGGCAGCAGUGGGGAAUAUUGGACAAUGGGCGCAAGCCUGAUCCAGCUAUGCCGCGUGAGUGAGGAAGGCCUUAGGGUUGUAAAACUCUUUCAGUAGGGAAGAUAAUGACGGUACCUAC
rnacentral:rRNA from 1 species